UAGGGAAUAUUGGACAAUGGGUGCAAGCCUGAUCCAGCCAUGCCGCGUGCAGGAAGAAGGCCUUCUGGGUUGUAAACUGCUUUUGCCAGGGGAUAAAAUUUCUUUGCGAAGAAAAUUGAAGGUACCUGGUGAAUAAGCCACGGCUAACUACGUGCCAGCAACCGCGGUAAUACGUAGGUGGCAAGCGUUGUCCGGAUUUAUUGGGUUUAAAGGGUGCGUAGGCGGUUCCAUAAGUCAGUGGUGAAAUACAAUAGCUUAACUAUUGAGGUGCCAUUGAUACUGCGGAACUUGAGUACAGACGAGGUAGGCGGAAUUGACGGUGUAGCGGUGAAAUGCUUAGAUAUCGUCAAGAACACCGAUAGCGAAGGCAGCUUACUAGACUGUAACUGACGCUGAGGCACGAAAGUGUGGGGAUCAAACAGGAUUAGAUACCCAUGUAGUCCCUGAGCGGGCUGGCAAGGCGCAU
rnacentral:rRNA from 1 species